GCGUUGUUCGGAUUUACUGGGCGUAAAGGGCGCGCAGGCGGUCAUUUUUGUCGAGUGUGAAAGCCCCGGGCUUAACCUGGGAACUGCGCUCGAAACGGGAUGACCAGAGAUCGGGAGAGGAGAGUGGAAUUCCCAGUGUAGAGGUGAAAUUCGUAGAUAUUCGGAGGAACACCAGUGGCGAAGGCGGCUCACUGGCUCGAUACUGACGCUGAGGUGCGAAAGCGUGGGGAGCAAACAGG
rnacentral:rRNA from 1 species